AAAAGCGCGAGUCUGGAGCCGAAGUUGUGGGGGGACUCGCCAAGCGUACCAGUUUUGGAGGUCACAGGUCCGCGGGGCGCGGCUAAUGGCGGAGCAAGCUGUGAGGGGAGGGUCGUACAGUUGUCGUCAGCGUGAACGCGGGUGCCCAGUGAGUGUCUGAAAGAACCCCAACUCCAGACCCCAAAGUCUGCCCCAGCCCCGCGCUCGUCUCUGCCUCGUCGACUUUAUCUGAUACCACUUUCCCUUCCUUUUUCCCUGGUGGGGAGGGUCCUUUUGGUCCCUCCCCUGCCUUUUCCCGCUCAGAAAGCCGCUCAGAAAGCCGAAUCUCGCCGAUUCUCAGCUCCGAGGAGAAAAUUUUGCCGGAAAUUAAAUCCUUCCUUCUGUUAGGCAGUAGUCGAUUGAUGGGAGGAGCUAAAAGUCACUUGGUGUCCUGACAAGAUGUGUUACUCUUUUGCUAAAAUCGUCAUCUCUAAUGCUUUGAGGGCGAUAACUUCUGCACACCUAGAACUUUCGGAUUACUACCGAGCUUGAAGAAUCUUAUUUUGGAAGAGACUUUUUGGUUUUUCUAGACAUUGGACUUUCAUGUACAGUUAAAUUUUCAAGAUAAUUUUGGAGACCAACAGAGUUUUUAACUUUCAUUUUUGCCAAGAUGCGAUAAUGGUAUUGUGGUUAUGUCCACAAUAGUUUCAGUCACUUAGACGAUUCAUCCAUAAAACGGGGAUGUCCAUCUGGCAAAGUUUUUGUGAAGAUUAAGAAAGAUAAUGUAUUCAGAGAUUAGCAGAAGGCCUGGCACUUGGUAAGCAUUCAGCAAGCAGGCUGUCUUUGGACUGGAGCUGAACAUCAGUUUGCCUGGGUCUCAGCCUGCCCACCUUCGGAUUAGAACUAUUGUAUCAGCUCUCGGUCUCCAGGCUGCUGCUCUUCAGCGUGAAACUGAAACAUCAGCUCCUCGUGGGUCUCCAGCUUGCCCACCCUCCCCUGCAGAUUUUGUACUUGCCAGCCUCCAUAAUCAUGUUGUUCUUCCUUCCCAGAAAACAGAAAAACUGCCAUCAACAGGCAAGGAGCUAGGAGCUCUCAGACUUACCCAACUAACCAUAAAGACACACUACUACAAUGAACACUGCAGUACUUGUAUCUGUUACCGGCAGUACCAGAGGUGGAUACUAAAAAUAAAACAACAUUUGUGCCAGCACACCUGUAGGUAAGAGGAAGAAAAAGCAAUUCUCAUGCUGGUAUAAGAGACAAGCCCCUCGGACCACCUGAAGAGUCAAGCUCUGUCUUACAGCAUUAAGCUCGCUACAAUUUCUGCAAUGCAAUGGCCAUUAAUGCUUAUUAAAUGCCAGGCACUAUAUUAAGCAAUGGGGAUACAGAGAUAGAUAACUAAGUCCCAGUCUGCAGCCUUGGAGGAUUUCAGUCUGGGGAAAUCAGAAAUGUAAAUGUUUAUGAAUCUAAUGAACUGAGUGCUAUAGAAACCCAGAAAUGUUUACCAUACGAACAAAAAAUUUUAAUCUAUCUAAAUGCUAAUGCCUUACUGUCAGUUUCAAUCUUUCAAAAUCUUUUCCAAAUUAGAUAUCAAAUAUUGAAGGAAAAAUAGGUAACAAUAUUCUAAAGUUAAAUACAGGAACACAUCCUUGAAAAUUAACACGAGGUAAAUUUUUAUUGUGCUAUCUCAGUGAGCCAUGUCUGGAAAGUUACUUAAAAGUUCACUUCCACUUUUGAAGUUAGUUAAAAUAUACAUAUGUUUGGCUGGACACUCAUCAAAGGUAAGAAAAUCUUAACUAAACCAGUGGCACUGGGAAAGGACUAAGAUUAGCUCAGAUGCUACGACUGGAAAAUACUUCCUUUCACUCUAGCUUUAAAGACAUGUUAGACAUACCGCACCAUUCAUAUAAGCUUACUGAGAUACUUUAAAAACCUACAAGCCAACCACAGGAUAGCACUUCACACCCUCUAAGGUGGUUAUAAUAAAAAAGACAGACAGUGACAAGUAUUGGUGAGGAUGUAAAGAAACUGGUGGGAAUGGAAAAUGUGCAUUCUCCUGGUAGAAACGUAAAACAUGGAGCAGCUUUGGAUAACACUCUGGCAGUUCCUCAAAAUGUUAAACAUACUUGUAGGUACAUACCCAAGAUAAUCAAAAACAUCGUGCAAAACAAAAACUUGUGUAAAAGGUUCAUAGUAGCAUUAUUCAUAAAAUACAAAAUAUAUUACAUCUUAUGUAUUACUAUAUACAAAAUAUUCCAAAAUGUGGAAGCAACUCAAAGUGUCUAUCAACAAAUGAAUGGAUAAACAAAAUAUGGUAUAUCCAUACAACAGAAAAUUAUUCAGUCAUUAAAAGGAAUGAAGUAUUUCUGACCAUGCAACAAUACUGAUGAACCUUGAAAACAUUAAGUCAAAGGAGUCAGUCACAGAAUACUGAUUCGAUUUAUAUGAAAUGUCUAGACGAGGCAAAUCUAUGGAAACAGAAGGUAGAUUAGUGGUUGCCAAGGUCUGCGGGGAGGGGGGAGGAGGGGAGGAAUGACUGCUAAUGGGUAUGAGGUUUCUUUUGGGGGUGAUAAAAACUGAUUGUGGUGAUGGUUGCACAAUUUUGUGAAUAUACUAAAACCUAUUAAAUUGUACAACUUAAAUGAGUGAAUUUUACACUAAGUGAAUUAUAUCUCCAUAAAGCUGUUAUUAAUUUUUAAAACACCUACAAGCCACAAUAUUGAACAGUUUAACAACGAUGAAGUUUUUUAUACUUAUCUAGUCUGUGCAGCAUUAAGAUCUUGCCAGGCUUUCAGUCCUUCCUCCCCUCCUAUUUUUUAACAAAUCAAAUCCUAGCCUUAAAUCAAAACUUCAGAGGUCUUAUUUAACCAAAAGACAAUGUCUUGUUAUCUGUCUUUUAAAAUUAUACUUAAACAGCAAUCAUUUCACAAAAAAGAUAUAGAUAAGGAAUGCAUAUAUGAAAAAUGUCCCUAUCUCAUCUUUUUUUAAAAAAGCAGAGGGUGGGAGGGGAUCUGUGUCUUCCUCUGGCUUCUGCCAUCUCCUUUCAGAAUGUUAAAAGUAAAUGGAAGAAAUUUAUACCACUUCACCUAUUUCUUCUUUCAACCCACUAUAGUCUGGCUUUUUCCCAUACCCCAACCCCAAACUGCUUUUUCUAGUCACCAAAUCACUACUACUUGGCAAACAGAAUGGGUGCUUUCUCAAGCUCACCUUACAGGUCCUCCCAGAAUCACUGUAUCAGACUUCGGUGACUACUCCUUUCUUGAAACUCUCCCAGGCUUUUCUGACAUCCUCUGGGUUCCCUUCCUUCCUCUUUGAGCACACCUUCCCGAGAGCAAUCACUAGCACUUCCGUUUAGAAGCUGCUCUUUAAAUGCUGAUGCUCUUCAACCAACCUAAAGCUGGUCACUCUACAGGCUUGUCUGAAUAAGCUCGUUUCACUUUCAUGCUUUCAAAUACCUCUUACAUGCUUUAAUUCUGUCCCCUCAGCUCUCUCGAGAUCUACAUUUCCACAGAUGUCUCAUAGGCACCUCUUUUUAACGUGUCCAAAGCUAAACUCAUUCUCUUCGACUUUGAAAUUUCUUCCAUCUUCUGCUUGGUCUCCUCUGCUUGUGUCUCCUCUCUUCCUCCUUACCCUACCAAACAGUACCUUCCAACUUGAGCGACGGUAUACCAAGCUAGAAACCUUGGAGUCAUACUACAACAUUCCUGUCUCCUUCACUACUCACAUAGUGACUCUUUGAGACUUCUUCCUUUAUCCUUAUCAGAUCCUUUGUACACUCUCUGUUCUACUGUCUUAGUUUAGCUCAGGCCCUCAUAUCUCACUCCCUAUAUUUCAACAGCUUCAAAAAUGCUCUCCUUCAAUCCGGUAAUCCAUUCUUCAUACUACCAUCAGAAUCAACUUUCUGCAGCACAAAUCUGUCAAAUGACUGCUUACUUUUCUUAAACUAUGCAGCGAUCUGCAGAGACCUAUAGUACUGAUUCUCAGCAUUUUACCAGAACCAACCUGAAUGAUAUAAGUGAAGGCUCAAAGUAAAACAGGCUGGGGUGGUGAGGGGACAACUGGAGGUGGGGAAACACUGCUGGAGUGUUCAAACAGAAUGUCUAUUUUCUUAACACCUGCCUACUUUCCCUGUAACUCUAAGACCUGUAGUGUGUUACUGUUCAGAAUUACUAUUACUGAUCUAUAGUAUCCAGCACAGAUUCAAGAACCUUCAACACCUGAUCCCUACCCUAGCUUUCUCAGCACCAUGUUAGCCUUUAUCAUGCACUAUUUCACUGUUACUCAAAAUCUGGUGAUGGCCCACCCCCAGACCAAUUCAAAGAGUCCGUGAGGUCAAAACUCUUUUCCUAACAAUACUAAGUUAUGCUUCCUCACCUGUAAAUAUGCAAAUGCACAGACUUUAGUACAAGAUUUUUUUAAUCACCUUCAUUCCCUUUAGGAGUGUACAGCGGAGUUUUCCAGAGAGUACAUGACACGUGACACUGAAAAGUGAUAAUGCAACAGUAUGAAUGCAACAGCUAUAAGAAUCCAGCUCUCUAUUAAGCCAGACAUUUAAAAAAUUUGCAAAAAUAUAAAAAUAAUGCUUCU